GACGAACGCUGGCGGCGUGCUUAACACAUGCAAGUCGAACGGAAAGGCCCUGCUUUUGUGGGGUGCUCGAGUGGCGAACGGGUGAGUAACACGUGAGUAACCUGCCCUUGACUUUGGGAUAACUUCAGGAAACUGGGGCUAAUACCGGAUAGGAGCUCCUGCUGCAUGGUGGGGGUUGGAAAGUUUCGGCGGUUGGGGAUGUACUCGCGGUUUAUCAGCUUGUUGGUGGGGUAGUGGCUUACCAAGGCUUUGACGGGUGGCCGGCCUGAGAGGGUGACCGGCCACAUUGGGACUGAGAUACGGCCCAGACUCCUACGGGAGGCAGCAGUGGGGAAUAUUGCACAAUGGGCGGAAGCCUGAUGCAGCAACGCCGCGUGCGGGAUGACGGCCUUCGGGUUGUAAACCGCUUUCGCCUGUGACGAAGCGUGAGUGACGGUAAUGGGUAAAGAAGCACCGGCUAACUACGUG
rnacentral:rRNA from 1 species